rnacentral:rRNA from 1 species
AGAGUUUGAUCCUGGCUCAGAAUCAAAGCUGGCGGCGUGCCUCAGACAUGCAAGUCGAACGCGAAAGUCCCCUUCGGGGGGCAAGUAGAGUGGCGCACGGGUGAGUAACACGUAGGUAAUCUACCUUUGGAUUGGGAAUAACAACCGGAAACGGUUGCUAAUACCGAAUAAUGCAGCGGCACCUAAUGGUGACAGUUGUUAAAGCGGGGGAUCGCAAGACCUCGCGUCUGAAGAGGAGCCUGCGGCAGAUUAGCUAGUUGGUAAGGUAACGGCUUACCAAGGCGAUGAUCUGUAGCCGGCCUGAGAGGGCGGUCGGCCACACUGACACUGACAUACGGGUCAGACUCCUACGGGAGGCAGCAGUCGGGAAUUUUGGGCAAUGGGCGAAAGCCUGACCCAGCAACGCCGCGUGAAGGAUGAAAUCCCUCGGGAUGUAAACUUCGCAAGAACAGGAAGAAUAAGUGAGAGUUAACACCUCUUACGAUGACGGUACUGUUUGUAAGCUCCGGCUAACUCCGUGCCAGCAGCCGCGGUAAUACGGGGGGAGCAAGCGUUGUUCGGAUUUACUGGGCGUAAAGGGCGCGUAGGCGGCCACCGCAAGUCGAUUGUGAAAUCUCCGGGCUUAACUCGGAAAGGUCAACCGAUACUGCGGGGCUAGAGUGCAGAAGGGGCAACUGGAAUUCUCGGUGUAGCGGUGAAAUGCGUAGAUAUCGAGAGGAACACCUGCGGCGAAGGCGGGUUGCUGGGCUGACACUGACGCUGAUGUGCGAAAGCUAGGGAGCGAACGGGAUUAGAUACCCCGGUAGUCCUAGCCUUAAACGAUGAAUGCUUGGUGUCUGGGGUUUUAUAGUCCCCGGGUGCGUCGCUACGCUUUAGCAUUCCGCCUGGGGAGUACGGUCCGCAGACUGAACUCAAAGGAUUGACGGGGACCCGCAAAGCGGUGGAGCAUGUGUUAAUCGACGCAACGGUAGACUUACUGGGCUAAAUGCCUGGACGCCUAAUUGGUCUGGGUUAAACAACAGGGCCAGGGCCAUGCUGCUCUCACCUCGGCUGGAAGUUGGGUAUCCCCACAGGA